UUGUUUACUCCAGCCCUGCAGGGGCCCAGCUCCAUCUUGGAAUGGUGGCCACACCUCAUGGUUCCCUGCAUAUUUGGGGCAAAGCAGCAGCGGGACAGAGAGCUUGGUGUGUUGCCUGAUUACAAUCUAUCUUAGGCUGUCCCAGCAUCCUUGUGACCAACCUACCUUCAGAUGAAACUUUUUGGAAUGUAUUUAGUCAACCACAGCUUUCAACAACCCAGAAGCCUGCCCCUGUGUGACAGCGUGAUGAGAAAAGAACCAUCUGCAAUCCAGGAAGUAGAUUCUCAAGAGAUGCCAGAUAUGCAGGCAUUUUGACCUUGCUUUUCCCAGCCUCUAGGACUGUGAACAUUGGAUUUCUGUCAUUUAAUCCAUCCACUCUAUGGUGUUUUUCCUUUGACACCCAGAAUGGACCAAGGCAGUCAUGUUUCCUCAGGCCUCAUAAAACCCCUUGUAUCCAUCAGCGUAACUUGGGUGACACUUCAGUAAU